rnacentral:rRNA from 1 species
GACGAACGCUGGCGGCGUGCUUAACACAUGCAAGUCGAACGGAAAGGCCCUGCUUUUGUGGGGUGCUCGAGUGGCGAACGGGUGAGUAACACGUGAGUAACCUGCCCUUGACUUUGGGAUAACUUCAGGAAACUGGGGCUAAUACCGGAUAGGAGCUCCUGCUGCAUGGUGGGGGUUGGAAAGUUUCGGCGGUUGGGGAUGGACUCGCGGCUUAUCAGCUUGUUGGUGGGGUAGUGGCUUACCAAGGCUUUGACGGGUAGCCGGCAUGGGAGGGUGACCGGCGACAUUGGUACUGCGAGACGGCCCAGACUCCUACGGGAGGCAACAGUGGGGAAUCUUGCACAGUGGGCCGAAGCCUGAUGCAGCAACGCCGCGUGCGGGAAGACGGCCUUCGGGUUGUAAACCGCUUUCGCCUGUGACGAAGCGUGAGUGACGGUAAUGGGUAAAGAAGCACCGGCUAACUACGUG